GGCAUCAAAGAGGGGCAGCUACUGAGAAGCAUUGCAGCAAAGACUCCAGUCUCAGAAAUCACUGAAUGUAGAAAUGGUCAGCAGUGCUUCAGUGGGUUGACUUUUCUGCACUACGACACAACACUCAGGAAACCCUGACAAAAAAAAUGUUGUCAAAUAUGUAUAUUAUUCAAACCAAGCUGGGAAUUUUCAGCACUAAAACUGCUUCAUCUCUAGAGUGUCAGUGAUCUGCAAUGUGAUUCAGCUGUGCUGUAAGACCUGUCUUUAAUCUUGCUCGAUUAAGCUGCAGCUGCCUCAGCAAAGUAGCUGCAACCACAGAAUGCAAGAGUCAGAACACGCCUGAGAAGCCAGAGUCAGGACUUGUGGAGAGAGGAGAAGCACAAAAUGGAGUUAUAUCAGCUGCACUGUAGGAAUGAGCAAAGCAUAUAAAAAAGAAAAAUACCUAGGUGGUCCAUUCCCAUCACAGGCACUGUCAAAAAAGUGUUUUCUAGAAUUAAAUGUAGGAGGACAUAGACAAAGAGGGUCAUUGCUUUCUGUGGAUCUUUUUGAGAGGGAGACCAGACCUGCAUUUUCCAAGAUGCUCUUACAGUGCAAAUUUUGUACUGUGGCUCAAUGGUACAGGAAAAUAACCUCAGUAUAUUCCUCAUAUGUACUCCACCAAGUGUGCACAUAA
rnacentral:lncRNA from 1 species